rnacentral:rRNA from 1 species
UUGUGAGGUUAAGCGACUAAGCGUACACGGUGGAUGCCCUGGCAGUCAGAGGCGAUGAAGGACGUGCUAAUCUGCGAUAAGCGUCGGUGAGGUGAUAUGAACCGUUAUAACCGGCGAUUUCCGAAUGGGGAAACCCAGUGUGUUUCGACACACUAUCAUUAACUGAAUCCAUAGGUUAAUGAGGCGAACCGGGGGAACUGAAACAUCUAAGUACCCCGAGGAAAAGAAAUCAACCGAGAUUCCCCCAGUAGCGGCGAGCGAACGGGGAGGAGCCCAGAGCCUGAAUCAGUGUGUGUGUUAGUGGAAGCGUCUGGAAAGGCGCGCGAUACAGGGUGACAGCCCCGUACACAAAAAUGCACAUAUUGUGAGCUCGAUGAGUAGGGCGGGACACGUGGUAUCCUGUCUGAAUAUGGGGGGACCAUCCUCCAAGGCUAAAUACUCCUGACUGACCGAUAGUGAACCAGUACCGUGAGGGAAAGGCGAAAAGAACCCCGGCGAGGGGAGUGAAAAAGAACCUGAAACCGUGUACGUACAAGCAGUGGGAGCCUCUUAAUGGGGUGACUGCGUACCUUUUGUAUAAUGGGUCAGCGACUUAUAUUCUGUAGCAAGGUUAACCGAAUAGGGGAGCCGAAGGGAAACCGAGUCUUAACUGGGCGUUAAGUUGCAGGGUAUAGACCCGAAACCCGGUGAUCUAGCCAUGGGCAGGUUGAAGGUUGGGUAACACUAACUGGAGGACCGAACCGACUAAUGUUGAAAAAUUAGCGGAUGACUUGUGGCUGGGGGUGAAAGGCCAAUCAAACCGGGAGAUAGCUGGUUCUCCCCGAAAGCUAUUUAGGUAGCGCCUCGUGAAUUCAUCUCCGGGGGUAGAGCACUGUUUCGGCAAGGGGGUCAUCCCGACUUACCAACCCGAUGCAAACUGCGAAUACCGGAGAAUGUUAUCACGGGAGACACACGGCGGGUGCUAACGUCCGUCGUGAAGAGGGAAACAACCCAGACCGCCAGCUAAGGUCCCAAAGUCAUGGUUAAGUGGGAAACGAUGUGGGAAGGCCCAGACAGCCAGGAUGUUGGCUUAGAAGCAGCCAUCAUUUAAAGAAAGCGUAAUAGCUCACUGGUCGAGUCGGCCUGCGCGGAAGAUGUAACGGGGCUAAACCAUGCACCGAAGCUGCGGCAGCGACGCUUAUGCGUUGUUGGGUAGGGGAGCGUUCUGUAAGCCUGUGAAGGUGUGCUGUGAGGCAUGCUGGAGGUAUCAGAAGUGCGAAUGCUGACAUAAGUAACGAUAAAGCGGGUGAAAAGCCCGCUCGCCGGAAGACCAAGGGUUCCUGUCCAACGUUAA